rnacentral:lncRNA from 1 species
AAGCUGAGAGUAUUCUCCAGUUUUGAAGCAAGCCUUGAAUAAAGAGUCUCCCCAGUCUGCCUUCUUGGCAGCCUACCCUUUUCGGGGUGGCUGCCUAGUUCAGAAGGAAGAGGAGCUGAGCGGACAGGUAUAUGAUUCUUACCAGCCACCGGGGCUUCUGGCUCUGACAUGCAAAGAUUUCACUGUUUCUGAAUUAGGUUUAAGCAAGAUGACUUUUCAGUCAUAGUUUAGAGGGUAAGAAUAGAGUACAACCCAGAGAGAAUGUAACGCAAUGCAAUCAACAUGCCAAAGAGCCAAAAGAAAGUGUAAUUUAUGCCAAUUUACACUACCUUGAUGGAUAAGCCCAGCAGAAUAUAUUAACAAAUGAUACUUCUACAGGUUUCUGGUGCCAUCUGCUAUAAUUUAAUGUAUAAUUAUGCCUUUGGUACAGAACACUAAAGGAUGGUUUUAAAAACUAUAGAACAUAUCUCAGAAUUACAGUAAUUUC